AGCGGAACUAACAGAUUUACUUCGGUAAUGACGUUAGGAAAGCGAGCGGCGGAUGGGUGAGUAACACGUGGGGAACCUGCCCCAUAGUCUGGGAUACCACUUGGAAACAGGUGCUAAUACCGGAUAAGAAAGCAGAUCGCAUGAUCAGCUUUUAAAAGGCGGCGUAAGCUGUCGCUAUGGGAUGGCCCCGCGGUGCAUUAGCUAGUUGGUAAGGUAAAGGCUUACCAAGGCGAUGAUGCAUAGCCGAGUUGAGAGACUGAUCGGCCACAUUGGGACUGAGACACGGCCCAAACUCCUACGGGAGGCAGCAGUAGGGAAUCUUCCACAAUGGACGCAAGUCUGAUGGAGCAACGCCGCGUGAGUGAAGAAGGUUUUCGGAUCGUAAAGCUCUGUUGUUGGUGAAGAAGGAUAGAGGUAGUAACUGGCCUUUAUUUGACGGUAAUCAACCAGAAAGUCACGGCUAACUACGUGCCAGCAGCCGCGGUAAUACGUAGGUGGCAAGCGUUGUCCGGAUUUAUUGGGCGUAAAGCGAGCGCAGGCGGAAGAAUAAGUCUGAUGUGAAAGCCCUCGGCUUAACCGAGGAACUGCAUCGGAAACUGUUUUUCUUGAGUGCAGAAGAGGAGAGUGGAACUCCAUGUGUAGCGGUGGAAUGCGUAGAUAUAUGGAAGAACACCAGUGGCGAAGGCGGCUCUCUGGUC
rnacentral:rRNA from 1 species